rnacentral:rRNA from 1 species
UGCAGUCGAGCGGUAGAGAGAAGCUUGCUUCUCUUGAGAGCGGCGGACGGGUGAGUAAUGCCUAGGAAUCUGCCUGGUAGUGGGGGAUAACGUUCGGAAACGGACGCUAAUACCGCAUACGUCCUACGGGAGAAAGCAGGGGACCUUCGGGCCUUGCGCUAUCAGAUGAGCCUAGGUCGGAUAGCUAGUUGGUGGGGUAAUGGCUCACAAGGCGACGAUCCGUAAUGGUCUGAGAGGAUGAUCAGUCACACUGGAACUGAGACACGGUCCAGACUCCUACGGGAGGCAGCAGUGGGGAAUAUUGGACAAUGGGCGAAAGCCUGAUCCAGCCAUGCCGCGUGUGUGAAGAAGGUCUUCGGAUUGUAAAGCACUUUAGUUGGGAGGAAGGGCAGUAGAUUAAUACUUUGUAUUUUGACGUUACCGACAGAAUAAGCACCGGCUAACUCUGUGCCAGCAGCCGCGGUAAUACAGAGGGUGCAAGCGUUAAUCGGAAUU